rnacentral:tRNA from 1 species
GGAGAGGUGGGUGAGUGGCUGAAACCACCAGUUUGCUAAACUGACGAAGGGGUAACUCUUCCGCGAGUUCGAAUCUCGCUCUCUCCG